AUGAACAACCUGCUCUCUGUGUCCACAGUGCCUGCACCCCAGCAGGCAUCCAGGAGCCACCACUGUCCUUCCAGCUGCACCGCGUUCCACAUGUGGCUGCUCUUCUGCUGCUGGCACCUCCGGCCUCCAUGGGCACAUGGGCCUCGGCUGAACCCUGGGACCUGCACACUGCUCAGACCUGCCUCCCUGCCACGGAGAGACAGGAGGGGAGGUAACUGCACACCAAACACUGCUUGGUGCUUGCUUUUUGGAAACCAACCCAACUUCCAUGGACAUGAAGAGCCGAAAUCCAGGAGGUUGCAUCCAAGGAAAGGGCUCUCAGCUCCACCACAUGACUGCAAAACAGUGGGACCAGACUUACCGAUGUUAUGGCAAAGCCAGAACCAUAUGGCCCGCACCAUCUCCAGUUUGCUCUGGGAUUUGGCUGUGAUCAGGGGAACAAUGGCCUGGACGGACAUCCUAGUGUGGCCUGAUUUCAGCUGCAAUGGAGAGGACAGGUGAGUUAAAGGCACUCUUGGUGUCAUAAUCUCAUGGGUAGGUGGCUGCUGACAUGAUGGGCUUGCUAGAAACAAAAGGUACAUCACAAAAACCCCAAAGCUUCAUUUAUCCCCCUCUGGAAAUGGGAAUCCAAAAAUAUGGUUUAUGGUAGAACAUUUCUCCAUUUUCCUAUGCUUGAUCUUAAGGACUGGAGUUGCUACUUAGAGGAAAUGAAGGUGGUAUUUUCCAUUUCUUUGAAGCAGCUGGUGGGGAUGUGCAAUGUCAACACUCCAAUGCCCUCUCUGUCUAGGUCAAGGUGUCCCUUUGCCCAGAGAGUCUUGUUGUAGAGGUCCCUCCAGCGGUGCAAAACUGCAACAUGUAACUGGGGAAAGUGGGUUUCCAGCCGCACACCAAAUAAUGUCUCAGUAUAUUGUCCCUGGAGAUGUUUAAGAACCAUAGAGAUGUAGCACUGAGAGACAUGGUCAGUGGGCAUGGUGGGGGUGGGCUGGGGUUGGGCUUGGUGAUCUUAGAGGUCUUUUCCAACCUGUAUGAUUCUAUGAGUCUGUUUAUGCAGAAAGAGAAGCCUCCUUGUGGCUCAGAUCCUCUUCUUGACCCUGUCAAAGCAGUCAAACCCACACCCCAAAAUGGGUGGAAGGAAUUGCCCCUACCACUAAAAUUUCACCUAUUUCUUAAUCCCAAGAAAGCCUUUCUGCCCCUUUCCUCCCAUUCACUCAUUC
rnacentral:lncRNA from 1 species